CCCCCUGCCCUCCCUUUCUAAUAAAACUUCUCACUAAACUCUGUCUGUCUGGCCUCGGUCACCCUCACCUGCCAUGGAAUCCAUCAUGGAAUCCAUGCAAGGUUCCUCGAGCUUUAUCAUAACAAAGAGGACCAGACCAGAUUAAUAGCGCAGCUGUCAGGUUCUACAACUUUCCAGGACAGUGGUGCCCUGUGGGGAUCAAGUGGGGAUCAAGUGUUCAAAUACAGAAGCCCAGAGUGGAUAUUUCUCAUUCAAACUAUCACAAUUGUCUUGCUGCUAGUGGGGACAAGCUGAAUUUCCCAGAAGGUUAUGACUGUACGUGGUAAGAAUGGAAAAUGGAGACAUGAAGAUGAGGUCAUGUCCAAGUGGGUAAUAGGCAGUCACCAUUGGCAGUCCAGCAAUAUCUGCUUCCUAUGCAAAUGAUGGCCCAAGGGCUGACAGAGAGCCAUUAAAGUCUUUGUAAAAUCCUGACUCAAUGCCAUCUGCUCUCAAGUACGCUGUAUAAACGGGCAAUGCUGUAACAUCUGGGAUAAAGUUUUCUUCAGUGCAUUCUCAUCUGAGGUGGUUCAGUCUGAUUAAAAAUUGGUUUAUAAUUGUU